rnacentral:misc_RNA from 1 species
UGAUGAUAUUUACUUGCUCUGAUUAAUACUGUGUUGCUUAUGUCAACACCUAAUUGGUUUGUUGAGUAAUUUAAGUCAUUAUAUUUGUUAGGAAAGGGUCCAUCUUAAUAUGGGUUUAUAUCUAAAGCUUCACAAUCUCAUUAAUUUUGGUCACUACAGAGAAAGGCUUUUGUUUUCUUUUUGGUUCUUUAUUAAGAGCUUCUAAUGCAGGAAUUCUUAAUUUGAUUGGUUAUGUGGUAUGAGAAUCUUUUCUUUUUUUUUUUUAAGGAAAACUAUGAGAUAUAAAAACAAAGGAAAAAGAAUUGAAUACCUGCUGGUAUGCCAUAGGAUCUUAAUGUUAAUUGUGAAAAAUAAAUAUUGAAAUGCAAGUGAAUAUGAAGCUCAAUAUAUUGCAUAUAAAAGGUAUACAUUAUUAUGAUACUCUGCUCCUGUCAGAUGGAAAUCUCCCGUGGGUCAUUUUAUAUAUUUUGGGAAUGUGCAAAAUGAGACAAACAACCUGUAAAUCACACUUUUAUCGUGUUGGUCAUGGAACUUCCUCUUUCGAGAUAGUGUGUUAGUUAUCCUAGCUCUGUGUUUUGUCGGAUUUGAAGUUAUUAGAUUUGUCGUGUGGAUACGUGCCAAUGUUGCUCUUAGUGGAAUGAUUUGUUAUUCUUUUGUUCAUCCUUGGACUUGACUUUGCAAAUCCAACAUGUGGAUGGAGGAUCUAUGUCAUGUGGUCUUGAAAUGUCAUUUUGAACACUUGACUUUUAUUACCAUUAUUGCAUUGAAAUAAAUUAUCUAUCGUUUUGGAGUGGGUACCUGGUAAUAAAACUUUUAGCCUAAAGCUUACUAAUGUCAUAUGCAUUAAAUUGAAAUAUUUCGGCAGCCAUAUGUAUCUAUCACAGAAGUAGUCUUUGUAAUAUUAAAUACUUUGGGUGGUUGGA